rnacentral:lncRNA from 1 species
AUUAUAUUGGCAUCAGACUUCGGGAAAAUGAAUUUGACCCAAAAGGAAGAAGGCAACCCACCUUUCUAGAUGAUAUGGCACACUAUGACUUGGCCAUCAGCAUUGCUUUGCAAUGGCUGGAUCACUCCGAAGAUUUA